UACGUAGGGUGCAAGCGUUGUCCGGAAUUAUUGGGCGUAAAGAGCUCGUAGGCGGUUUGUCGCGUCUGCUGUGAAAACCUAAGGCUCAACCUUGGGCUUGCAGUGGGUACGGGCAGACUAGAGUGCGGUAGGGGUGACUGGAAUUCCUGGUGUAGCGGUGGAAUGCGCAGAUAUCAGGAAGAACACCCGUGGCGAAGGCGGCUCUCUGGAACGCAACUGACGCUGAGACGCGAAAGCGUGGGGAGCAAACAGG
rnacentral:rRNA from 1 species